rnacentral:misc_RNA from 1 species
UUGGGUGGGGGUGGAAGCGGUGACCUAAUUUUUCCAGCUCCCUUAGGUGGGGGUGCAAGAAGCAUACUCGGUUUUCCAGCGACGGAGGCCCCUCCAGAAAGACCAGCAGCUGAAAGCAUGCCACUGCCACUAGAUGUUUUGUUUUUGACAUUUAUCCGAAUUGUCUCUCCCUCCUUGAGGCGAUGAUUAACAGCCGGAUGGAUAUCAAUCCCGCCCUCUUCGCUCUCCUCGGUAACUUCCUUCUCAUGCUCCCUCCUCACGUACUUAUCAUGAUCCGACAGCGAAACAUUGAAAUCAAACGCCUCAUUCCUCUCCCCAAACCCCAGCCCCACAAACGCAUGCUUCCCCUGCCCGUCCUCGAUCUUCAAAACG